rnacentral:rRNA from 1 species
AUGUUGACGACGAGCGCUCCGGGCACGGCCGGCACCUCCACCCACCUGUCAGCCGGCGGCCCGUGCCGGAACAGGUGCAGCCCCGGGACCUGGCUCUGCAUCAGGAGAGCGAAGAACCCCGAGUCCGUGUGGGCUUUCAUGCCCAGCGCUCGCUUCGGAUCAGGGCAUUUAGGGUACCUGCAUGCAUGCAAUAGAGUACACGUCAAACACGUGGAGACACGAGUAGCCGCUGGGAGUGUUGCCAUUUGUACUACGUACCAGUUGAGGUGUAUUGUCUCGCUCAUGGUCUCGGUGAGUUUGUGCUCCGCCUCGACGCCGGCGAUCUGCGGGCCGGUGAGCCCGAGCGCUACCAGGAACAGCUCCAUCAGCUUGUCUGCCAGCGCGCGCAUCUCCUUGUGGAACUCCUCCAUCACGCCGCUGCACAUCACGCGAUUAACAAACGAUGCAAUUACCCCUAGCAAGUUAGAUCUCUCGGGAAUUAAUUCAUGGACACAUACCAGAAUUGGCUGUAGUCGUGGCCGGCGUCGGGCCAGAUCUUGCGGAGUUCGGGGCGGAGGUUGGUCGGGCUCAAGGAGUAGCCCUCGGACCACAUGGUCUUGGAGAAGUAGAGCGCGAUGUGCGGCAGCCCGUAGCCGUAGGGGUCACCGCCCUGGCGCGCGGCGCGCAUCUUGUCCGUCUUCGGCAGCGCAAACAUGCCGGCGAUCCCGGCCUCGACGCGCGCCAGCAGCUCUCUCGGCACGCCGUGGCCCUGGAGCAGGAACGCUCCCCAUUGCUCCGAUGCACGCGCCACCGCCUCUGCCGCGUGCGGAUCCUGCAUGUCCACCACCGGCACGGCGUCCUCCCCAGCCCCAACGCCGCCGUCCACCACCGGGUGCUCGUGCAGCCCCUCCCACGCGUGCGUCUCCGGCACCUGCCGCGCCGCCCCCAAGUCGAAGUAGUGGUUGUGCGGGUCCUUGUUCAGCUUCGACGGAGUCGGCAUGGCGAUCGAUGCUGAACCACAAUAGUCACGUUUGCUUGUAG